CUCACGCUCCGGGCCGCGAGACAGCGGCCCACGCAAGCAUGGCUGCGCCCGGUUGGGGCGCGUACGUUUGUUUCGACCGUGGGGCUGGGCCGGCUCGUGGGGCUGGGCUUUAGGCAGAACGGGUUGAAAAGGAAUAUAUUGCAUUUCAGCGCUUCCUGUCCCUUAGCAACUGUGCUAGGCGCUUUGUAUUUCUCAUCUCCAAGUGACCCUCCUCCACUCUCGAGGGUAGUAUUUAGUGUCACGAUGUUUGGGGAUCUGUUUGAAGAAGAUUAUUCCAGUGUGUCAAAUUAUCAGUAUGGAAACGAGAAGAAGUUAAAGACCAAGGUUUUGGAGCCACCGGCUCCUAGAGAAUUCACCAAUUUAAGCGGAAUUAGAAAUCAGGGUGGAACCUGUUACCUCAAUUCCCUUCUUCAGACUCUUCAUUUCACACCCGAAUUCAGAGAAGCCUUAUUUUCCCUUGGCCCAGAAGAGCUUGGUUCAUUUGAGGACAAGGAUAAACCUGACGCAAAGGUUCGAAUCAUCCCUUUACAGUUACAGCGGAUGUUUGCUCAGCUUCUGCUCUUAGACCAGGAUGCAGCGUCCACCACGGACCUCACUGACAGCUUCGGGUGGACCAGCGAUGAGGAAAUGAGGCAGCAUGAUGUGCAAGAACUGAAUCGAAUUCUCUUUAGUGCUUUGGAAACUUCUUUAGUCGGGACCUCCGGCCAUGACCUCAUCAAUCGUCUGUAUCACGGGACCAUUGUUAACCAGGUUGUUUGUAAAGAAUGUAAGAAUGUCAGUGAAAAGCAGGAAGACUUCUUAGAUCUCACAGUAGCAGUCAAAAACGUGUCAGGUUUGGAAGAUGCACUCUGGAACAUGUAUGUAGAAGAGGAAGUUUUUGACUAUGACAACCUGUACCACUGUGGGACUUGUGACAGGCUGGUUAAAGCAGCCAAGUCGGCCAAAUUACGUAAGCUGCCUCCCUUUCUUACUGUUUCGUUGUUAAGAUUUAAUUUUGAUUUUGUGAAGCACGAACGAUACAAGGAAACUAGCUGUUACACGUUCCCUCUCCGGAUCAAUCUCAAGCCUUUUUGUGAACAGAGUGAAUUGGAUGACUUGGAGUAUGUUUAUGACCUCUUUUCAGUUAUUAUCCACCAAGGUGGUUGCUAUGGAGGACAUUAUCACGUGUAUAUUAAAGAUGUCGAUCAUUUGGGAAACUGGCAAUUUCAAGAGGAAAAAAGUAAACCAGAUCUCCAGAAUAAAGAGGAGAUUGACGAUGAUCCAUUGAUAAUUCUAAAAGCAAUCUUACUACAGGAGGAGAGUAAUCUGAUUCCUGUUGAUCAGCUGGGCCAGAAACUCUUGAAAAAGAUAGGAAUAUCUUGGAACAAGAAGUACAGAAAACAGUAUGGACCACUGCGAAAGUUCUUACAGCUUCAUUCUCAGAUAUUUCUGCUCAGUUCAGAUGAAAGUACAGUUAGUCUCUUGAAGAAUGGUUCUCUCCAGGCUGAGUCCGAUUUUCAAAAGAAGGAUCAACACCUUUUCCAGAUGCAUACUUCAGAAUCCCCAGGAUUAAAUGACAGAAACUCCUGUCCCCACUGGUUUGAUAUAAAUGAUUCCAAAGUCCGACCAAUCAAGGAAAAAGAUAUUGAACAGCAGUUUCAGGGUAAAGAAAGUGCCUACAUGUUGUUUUAUCGGAAAUCCCAGUUGCAGAGACCCCCUGAAGCUCGAGCCAAUCCAAGGUACGGGGUUCCAGGUCAUUUGCUGAAUGAAAUGGAUGCGGCCAACAUUGAACUGCAAAGAAAAAGGGCAGAAUGUGAUUCUGCAAACAAUAGUUUUGAAUUGCAUCUGCACCUGGGCCCUCAUUAUCAUUUCUUCAAUGGGGCUCUGCACCCGACAGUCUCUCGAGCAGAAAGCAUGUGGGAUUUCACCUUUGAUAAAAGAAAAACUUUAGGAGAUCUUCGACAGUCAAUACUGCAGCUGUUAGAAUUUUGGGAAGGAGAUCUGGUGCUUAGUGUGGCAAAGCUUGUUCCUGCAGGACUUCACGUUUAUCGGAUGCUGGAUGGAGAUAACCUGACACUGUGUGAAAUGGAAAUUGAGGAUGGGGAAGACAUCUUUGUAUGGAAUGGGGUGGAGGUUGGUGGCAUCCCCAUUCCAACCGGUAGCGACUGUGAGCCUGUGCUCAUAAAUGUUCUUCAUCUCGCAGCAAGCAGCCAGGGGGGAAAGUGUCAGCAGUUGGUAGAGGCCCCACAUGUGUUCCCAUCCAAUGCAGAAGUGCAGGCUGUGCUCGCAGCCUUGGCAAUGCCCGUAGCCGUCCUCUUCGUCAGCACCACCGACUCUGUCGGGGAAGAGAACUGGGUCGCCAUUCCCGAGGAAGAUCUGAAGAAGACGUUCAGAGAACAGGGCCUCGGGAACGGGAGCUCGGUUCUCGUUCAGGAGUCUAAAGAUGAUAAGAGUUUGCUGCUCAGACAAGGGAAAUGGUUCACUGGUGCGAGUGAGACCAGCUGGCUCCAAGUUCAAAAUUUAUGCGAGGUGGAGUCUGAGGAGAAGCAAGUUAAAAUAUCAGCAACUGUGAACACAGUGGUGUAUGAGAUUCGAAUUAAAGCCAUAAAGGAAUUAGAAUUAAUGAAGGAACUAGCUGAGAACAGCUGUUUGAGACCUAUUGGUAGAAACGGGAAGCUUCUCUGUCCAGUGCCAGACAGCUACACCGUGAAGGAAGCGGAACUGAAGAUGGGCAGUUCAUUGGGACUGUGUCCUGGGAGAGCACCAACUCCCUCCCAGCUGUUCCUGUUUUUCACUGUGGGGAGUGAUGUUCAGCCUGGUACAGAGAUGGAGAUCAUCGUAGAAGAAACAAUGUCUGCGAGAGAUUGUUUAAAGCUCAUGCUGGAGAAGUCUGGCCUACCAGGAGACACGUGGCAUUUACGGAAAAUGGAUUGGUGCUAUGAAGCGGGAGAGCCUUUAUGUGAAGAAGACGCAUCCCUGAAAGAACUUAUGAUAUGUUCUGGAGAUACCUUGCUUUUAAUUGAAGGAAAACUUCCUCUUCCGGGUUUCCUGAAGGUGCCCAUCUGGUGGUACCAGCCUGGGGGUCCCUCCGGUCAUUGGAAGAGUCAUCAGGACCAGGUGGACGGUACCCCUUCUCCAAGUGGGGUCUGGACAGCUACUUCCACCCAAGGCGCUCCAGGUGACCUGUAUGCAGAGGCUUCCCUCCGCCACGUGGGGGACCUCGAGAUCUCAGAAGAGGCCACCUUGCUGGAGCUGAAGUCCCAGUCUGUUCUGAUAUGGCAUGUGUUAUAUGCCAUGUUCAGUGGCCAUGACCUUGUCCUCCUCUGAUUUCGUCAUCCCGUCCCCAGCCUUCCUUAGAGCCUGGACCUUGGAAAGUAAGCGCCCCAGCAGGCUUUUACGGACCAACCUGCAGCAACUCAAAACAUUCAAGAUCUGCUCUCCUAGCAACUUUCAAAUAUGGGAUACAGCACUGUGAACAGGAAGAGCUGGGCUGUACGUUAGAGCCUCAGACCUCACUUGUCUUCCUCCCGGACGUUUGGACUCUGUGAUCAGCAUCUCCUCUUUUCCUGCAGCCCUAGAAACCGUCACGUGCUCUCUGUUCCUAGGAGUCCGGCCUUUUCAGAUUCCACAUAUUUGUGAGAUCGUACAGGAUUUAUCUUUCUCUUACUCCACGUUACUCGCAUAAUGUCCUCAAGGUCCAUCCAUGUUGUCACAGACGAUAGGCUGUCCUUCUUUCUCAUGGCCGAAUGAUAGUCUGUCGCUUACACGUAUAGACACCACGUCAUUGUCUGUGAUGGACACUCAGGUGUUUCCAAAUCCUGGCUGUUGUGAAUAAUGCUGCUGUGAAUAGUACCUAUUUGAGAUUUUGUUUUCAUUUCCGUGCAUACCCAGAAGUGCUAGGUCAUAUUGGCAAUUCUAUUUUUAAUUUUUUGAGGAACCUCCAGAAAAUUGGCUUCACCAAUUUACAUUCCCACCAACAGUGCACAGGGCUCCCUUUUCUCCACACCCUCGCCAGCACUUAUCUCGUCUUCCUGAUGCUAGUGGGAGGUGGCAUCUCAGGGUGGUUGCGAUUUGUAUUUCCUUGAUGAGGAGUGAUGUUCACCUUUUCACGUGCCUUUUGGCCACCUGUAGAUCUUCUUCAGGAAAGUGUCUAUUCGGUUCCUCUGCCCAUUUUUUUACUGGACCGUUUCGGAGGUUUCUUGCUUUUGAGCUUUCUGGGUUCUUUCUUAACCCUUUAUCACAUAGAUGAUUUGCAGGUAUUUUCACCCAUUUCAUAGGUUGCUUUUUCAUUGACUGAUGGUUUCCUUUGCUGUGCAAAAGCUUUUUAAUUUGAUGCAGUCAGUCCCACUUAUUUCUGCUUUUCUUGGCUUUUCCUUUUGGUAUCGGUACCAAAUCCAAAAAAGUCAUCGCCAAGGCCAAUGUCAGGGAGCCUACCUCCUGUGUUUUCUUCUAGGAGUUUUGUGGUUUGUGGCCUUUCAUUCAAGUCUUUAAUCCAUUUUGAGUUGCUUUUUUUUUUAAGUUUGUAUUAUUUAAAUACACCAUAUUAGAGCACAUGUCUCUGAAAAUAUCACAAAUAAAAGAUUUUUUUUCUUGUUUCAGCAAAUUAGAAGUAGGGGGAAAUUUCUACACAGUAGCUGCUAUGAGCCUGAUUUUUUUCCAAUUUUUUUUCUUUUUUUUUCUAUUCAUUUUUUUUUUUCUUCUUUGCCAUGGAAGUAGCAACAUUAGGACGAGAACACUUACAUGCAUACAUACGCUGUGUUUUACAGAGACACAAUAAAAGCGUUUGCGAUAGAGUGUUGCAAACGCCACAUCUCUUUCCUUUAUCUCAUGUUCGGUUUUGAUUGAAACACAUUUCCUUACAACGCUUAAAUAUACAAAGAGUAAGUAGAAUGUUGUUAAGGUAAAACACAGGGUACAGACUCUGGCCAGUGCCCUGCUAAUUGUUAAUGAGAGUAGAAAGCAGAUUUGAAUUCUCCUCUUAAUUCUCCUAAUUAGCUUCAUUAGUCAUUUCCCUCCUCCCAUGCUCCCCCCACCCAAGAUGUGCCCCCGUGGAUCUUUUUUUCAUUUUCUCUACAGUCUCUCCAUCAGCCCAGGUUCGUGGGGUGCUUAAUGUUCGUAUUCAGUCAUUUUAAUACACCGGUAAUGCGGGAAGGGCGGUCAGGUCUGACGGAGGUGCGGUGGCGUGGAGCUGGCACUGGGGCUACCAAAGCGACUGUCUACUGAAGACAACGCGGGAUCCACCGUGAUGAACGCGGUCUGAGUUGAAGGCACGCAUCUGGCAUUACUCUGACCUUCCAGCAGCCCGGGUCUGGCAGUAGUGGAUGGCACUGAAGUGAACGUAAAUGGCCACCGAUGAGAGUUGUGGGUCUAUCACGUCCACAAAAUAAGCUGCCACUGAUGUAGUGAAACCGAUCUUCUGGGACCACGUAAGACACUGAGAUGAUGUGCAUCGCCUCGGGCCCAGUUCGCGCGCAGGAAUCGACUGUCCUUAAGCGCUGCAGGCUCCGCUGUUCCCAGAUCACCGACCAUAGUCACUUGUGCACGGGACCACACCGCCCUCGGUGUAACAGGACAGGGCUGAUGUUGCCCCACUGCGCCCGGCCGCAGGGGCACGCGAGGCUCCAGCUGUGCCAGUAGCUGUCCGUGGCACAGAGCAGACAGCGGCCCGCAUCUUGCCCCCCGUGGCCGGCGCACCGCUUCCGGGGGAGCUGCCGCCCGGCUUCACCACGGCCUGCUUUUCCCCUCGAGGUGGUGGCAGAAAGCGAGCGAGGCCGCUUGGCUUCCAAGGAAGAGUUUUUGAGCUGAUUUUUGUGUGCAGCGUAAGAGAGCGAUCAGUUCCAUUCUUUUGCACGUGGCUGUCCGGUUUUCCCAGCACCGUCUGUUGAAGAGACUCUCCUCUCCCCAGUGCGGAGUCUUGGCUCCUUUGUUGUAAACUCAUGGGCCGUGCGUGCAUGGGUUCAUUGCUGAGGUCUCUGUUCUUCUCCAUUGGUCUGUGUCUGUUUUUAUGGCAAAACCAUAUUGUUUUGGUUACUGUAGUUUGAAAUCAGGAAGGGUGAUGUCUCCAGCUUUGUUCUUUCUCAAGAUUGCUUUGGCUCUUUGCGAUCUUUUGCGGUUCCGUACAAAUUUUAGAAUUGGUUUUCUGUUUCGGUGAAAAAUGCCAUUGAAAUUUCGAUAGAGAUUGCAUCGAGUCUAUAGAUAUCUCUGGGUAAUGUGGACAUUUUAACAAUAUUCUUCCAAUUCACAAAUGUGGAAUUUCUCUUCCACUUACUUGUUUCUUCGGAGAGUUUCUGUCAUCAGUGUCUUCAGCAUAUCGAUCUUUUGCCUCCUGGGUUAAAAUCUCUUCCUGCGUAUUUUAUUCUUUUCAAUGCUCGUAAAUGAGACUGUUUUCUUAAUUAGUCUUCCUGAUAGUUCACUGUUAGUGUGUAAAACAUUAAAUGAUUUUUGUAUACUGAUUUUGUAUCCUGAGACUUUACUGAAUUCAUUUAUUUUAAUAGUUCUUUGGUGUUUAGGGUUUCCUAUAUAUAAUAUGUCAUCUGUAACUGGAGACAGUUUUACUUCUUUCUUUUUGAUUUGAAUGCCUUUUCUACUCCGUGUUUCAUUGCUCUCGGAAGGACUUCCAGGACUGUGCUGAACGCGGGCAGCGAGAGCGGGCGUCGUCUUACUCCUGAUGGUAGAAGAAGGGCUUGCAGACUUUACCACUCAGCAUGUUAGCUGUGAGCUUGUCAUAUAUGGCCUUUAUUAUGUCAAGUUGCGUUUUGUCUCUACUCAUUGUGUUGAGAAUAUUUAUCAGGAAAGGAUGUAGAAUUUUGGUCAAAUGCUCUUUCUUCCUCUAUUGAGAUGAUUAGAUAUGUACCCUUAGUUUUGUUACUGUAUCACAUUGAUUGAUUUGCAGAUAUUGAAUCACUCUUACAUCCCUGCAAUAAAUUCUCCUUGAUCAUGGUGUAGGAUUCUUUUAAUGUACUGUUGAAUUUGGUUUGCUAAGUCAGGUUUUGUAUCAGGGUAAGGCUGGCCUCAUAAUAGAAAUUUACAAGUGUUCCCUAUUCUGUUUUUUGAAAGAGCUUGAAGAGGAUUGGUAUUAAUUCUUGAAAUGUUUAUUAGAAUUAACCAGUGUGGGGCGCUUGUGUGGCUCAGUCAGUUAAGCAUCCUACUUUGGCUCAGGUCAUGAUCUUGCAGUUCGUGGGUUUGAGCCCUGUGGUGGGCUCUGUGCUGACAGUGUGGAGCCUACUGUGUCUCCCUCCCUCUCUCUGCUCCUCCCCAACUCAUGCUUGCGCUCUCUCUCUCUCUCUCAAAAAUAAACAUUAAAAAAUAAACACACACACACACACACACCAGUAGAACCAUCUGGUCCUGGACUUUCCUGAUUCAGUUCCCUUGCUAGUAGUUGGUCUGUUCAGAUUUUCUAUUUAGUGCAUACUAAGUCUAGUAUGUUCCAAGACUUACCCAUUGUUUUCCAGCCUGUCCAGUUUGUUGGCAUCCAUUUGUUCAUAGUUGCCUCUCAAAUAUUGAGUGUUCUUAUUUAGUAUAUUCUUUUGCUCAAGAGAAAACUUAGAAUUUUCCCCCCAAAAAUCUAAAAACUUAAAUGUCACUCAAUAGUAUUUUGUUUCAUUUCUUUUAUCAGGGAGUAUAAACUGGGAAG